rnacentral:rRNA from 1 species
AGAAUGAACGCUGGCGGCAUGCCUAACACAUGCAAGUCGAACGAAGCCUUCGGGUUUAGUGGCGCACGGGUGCGUAACGCGUGGGAAUCUACCCCUUGGUUCGGAAUAACAGUUGGAAACGACUGCUAAUACCGGAUGAUGACGUAAGUCCAAAGAUUUAUCGCCGAGGGAUGAGCCCGCGUAGGAUUAGGUAGUUGGUGUGGUAAAGGCGCACCAAGCCGACGAUCCUUAGCUGGUCUGAGAGGAUGAUCAGCCACACUGGGACUGAGACACGGCCCAGACUCCUACGGGAGGCAGCAGUGGGGAAUAUCGGACAAUGGGCGAAAGCCUGAUCCAGCAAUGCCGCGUGAGUGAUGAAGGCCUUAGGGUUGUAAAGCUCUUUUACCCGGGAUGAUAAUGACAGUACCGGGAGAAUAAGCUCCGGCUAACUCCGUGCCAGCAGCCGC